CUUCGGGGUCAGGGGAGGUCAGGAAGGGAGCAGGCGGGCAGUUACCCUGCACAGCGGCACCCUCUACUGGCAAGGCAGAAAAUGAUACCAGACAGCACCUCCCACCUCUCCCUCUUAAGUACAGGGGUGCAGGGGCAGGGUAAGGAGACAGAAGAAAGAGAACUAGCACAGUGUCACGUAGGGGCUGCAGAACUGAUUAACCCAGGCUCUCUUUAUACGUUUUUAAAUUUCAGAGAUUUGUUAGAGGACUGGCUGCAGAGAAGCAUAAACAUUUCAGGCAAAAAGGAAAAGAGCACUGAAGCUGGGAAUACACCGCAACACAGACAAUGAAUGCCUCACUGCUGCCGGCUCCAGGGCCAGCAGUGGAGAGGCACAGGCUGUUGGACCUUCAUCCCGCCAGGUGCUCUUUCCACAUCCUUCCUCGGGCCAACAAGGGGCAGGAAUGGAAAUACCCGGGACCCACAGGCAGCUGUGAUAACUGAUGUUAAGAGACCCGCAACAGGCAGUGUGUGAGCUCCGGCACGUACUUCUCAGCCUCACAGAAAGAACAUUUUCGAAUGGUCCAUGAAACCUUUGCUAUAGUCAGAUGCAGAUCUUGGAGGAAUCCUGGUGGGAAGGGAAACAUGAAAAGCAAAGUAACCGGCAAGAUUUCCAAACCCUUGGAACGCAGAGUUGAUGCUUUUGGAGUUACCCACCAAUUAAGACU
rnacentral:lncRNA from 1 species